rnacentral:lncRNA from 1 species
GCCAGUUGUUUCUAUAAUCGAAAAUAUUUAGUUCUAAAAACACAAAAUAAUUACAAGACGCAAAUUUUAACCCCACAAUCUACAGAUCCACGUCAAAAAAAAUUCCCAAAUACAGACCUGAUAAAUUUAAACAACAAAUGCAAGGUUUCAAUAUCAGGAACAAUAUCAAACUUCCAUAUUAAUUAAAAAAAAAAAUGAAAGAAAGAAAGAAAAAAUUAUACAAGCGGAAACUGUACCGAUUGAGUCAGAAAAUUCACGAGGAUGUCGAGCAGACACUGAUGAUCAUCGGCGACUAACUCUGACAAUUAACUUGCGUUGUAUAACCAUCACCCAAUUGGGGAAAUGUAGAGAGAGAAAUACAGAGUGGAGAGAGGGGAGGUGAUUUUCUUUUUUUAUUUUUUAUUUAUUAUAUUUUUUCUAAUUCUGUUUUUUAUUGGCUAAUUAUUUUUCAGUUUAUGUGUUGAGUCGUAUGGUGUGAUUCGAGUUGUGACAAUAUAAAAUAGCAAUAAUUAUAUUUAUACAAUUUUUAUUUUUUGCACCAUAUUUUAAUUGUGUUUAAGGUUUUUAAUAUUUUC